AACGAACGCUGGCGGCAGGCUUAACACAUGCAAGUCGAACGCCCCGCAAGGGGAGUGGCAGACGGGUGAGUAACGCGUGGGAACGUACCUUUCAGUUCGGAAUAACUCAGGGAAACUUGUGCUAAUACCGGAUACGCCCGCAAGGGGAAAGAUUUAUCGCUGAAAGAUCGGCCCGCGUUGGAUUAGCUAGUUGGUGGGGUAAAGGCCUACCAAGGCGACGAUCCAUAGCUGGUCUGAGAGGAUGAUCAGCCACACUGGGACUGAGACACGGCCCAGACUCCUACGGGAGGCAGCAGUGGGGAAUAUUGGACAAUGGGCGCAAGCCUGAUCCAGCCAUGCCGCGUGUGUGAUGAAGGCCUUAGGGUUGUAAAGCACUUUCACCGAUGAAGAUAAUGACGGUAGUCGGAGAAGAAGACCCCGGCUAACUUCGUGCCAGCAGCCGCGGUAAUGUCUGUACU
rnacentral:rRNA from 1 species